rnacentral:piRNA from 1 species
UGCUUGCCCAUGAAGGAUUAACAUCUG